AUACGGAGGAUCCGAGCGUUAUCCGGAUUUAUUGGGUUUAAAGGGUGCGCAGGCGGCCAUUUAAGUCAGCGGUUAAAUCGUGGGGCUCAACCCCAUUCUGCCGUUGAUACUGGGUGGCUUGAUUGCGGUCGAGGUUGGCGGAAUUCGUUGUGAAGCGGUGAAAUGCAUAGAUAUGACGAAGAACACCGAUUGCGUAGGCAGCUGACCAGACCGCAAAUGACGCUCAUGCACGAAAGUGCGGGGAUCGAACAGGAUUAGAUACCCUGGUAGUCCGCACAGUAAACGAUGAAUACUUGUUUUCGGCGAUAUAAUGUCGGAGGCAAAGCGAAAGCGAUAAGUAUUCCACCUGGGGAGUACGCCGGCAACGGUGAAACUCAAAGGAAUUGGCGGGG
rnacentral:rRNA from 1 species